AUUGAACGCUGGCGGCAGGCCUAACACAUGCAAGUCGAACGGUAACAGGAAGCAGCUUGCUGCUUUGCUGACGAGUGGCGGACGGGUGGGUAAUGUCUGGGAAACUGCCUGAUGGAGGGGGAUAACUACUGGAAACGGUAGCUAAUACCGCAUAACGUCGCAAGACCAAAGAGGGGGCCCUUCGGGCCUCUUGCCAUCGGAUGUGCCCAGAUGGGAUUAGCCAGUCGGUGGGGUAACGGCUCACCUAGGCGACGAUCCCUAGCUGGUCUGAGGGGGUGACUCGCCACACUGUAACUGAGACACGGUCGACACUCUUACGGGAGGCAGCAGUGGGGAAUAUUGCACGAUGGGCGCAAGCCUGAUGCAGCCAUGCCGCGUGUAUGAAGACGGCCUUCUGCUUGUAAAGUACUUUCAGCGGGGAGGAAGGGAGUAAAUUUAAUACCUUUGCUCAUUGACGUUACCCGCAGAAGAAGCACCGGCUAACUCCGUG
rnacentral:rRNA from 1 species